CACGUAGGGGGCAAGCGUUGUCCGGAUUCAUUGGGCGUAAAGAGCUCGUAGGCGGUCUGUUGCGUCGGCUGUGAAAACCCGGGGCUCAACCCCGGGCCUGCAGCCGAUACGGGCAGACUAGAGUUCGGCAGGGGGAGACUGGAAUUCCUGGUGUAGCGGUGGAAUGCGCAGAUAUCAGGAGGAACACCGGUGGCGAAAAGCGGCGUGCUGGACCUUUUACUGAGCUGAUGCGCGAAAAGCCAGGGGGAGCGAAACGGGG
rnacentral:rRNA from 1 species